UAACCUGUCUGAAGCAGAUUCUCAUCUAAUUAUGACAGAUCUAUAUUUAACUGUUCAGAAUCACUCAUUAUCGCAGACUUGACUACAUCAAUAUUCCUCCACUCCUCUCAAGCUUCCUGCCAUUGUAAUAAUUCCCAAAGGUAAUCCAGCACAUUCCCUUGCA
rfam:Populus trichocarpa scaffold_19_contig_53, whole genome shotgun sequence.